rnacentral:lncRNA from 1 species
GCCAUUUCCUUCUCCAAUGCAUGAAAGUGAAAAGUGAAAGUGAAGUCGCUCAGUCGUGUCCGACUCUUAGCGACCCCAAGGACUGCAGCCCACCAGGCUCCUCCAUCCAUGGGAUUUUCCAGGUAAGAGUACCGGAGUGGGGGUGCCAUUGCCUUCUCCAUAUUUUAACCUAACGAUGGCUUAAAAUAGUCACGCGGCCUAGCCAUAGACUACCUAACGACGAAGUUCCGCUGCUUAAACGCGGAAAUAAUUUUACACUCUUAAGAAAUUAAUUAAGAAAGUAUUUUUCCCUAUUACCUCAAACCGGAGACGCAACCACAGGCAAAAACAGGCCGAAAGAGUGGGGCUAGAGCUAUUGAUUGACACACAUUCCAACCAACCUACAACGGAAGAAGAGCGCGCCUGCGCAAGUCAUUAUCCAAUCUGUACUCAGCAUUAGCGGAAGAGGCGGGGCGCCUGGAAACGGCCGCCGCAGAGUUGGCGGACUUGAGAAGGAGCGAAGAUGGCGGAGUGAGGCUCUUUGAGGCUAUCUGGCCUUUGGGCCAGGGGGCAGGCCGGCCCCCGGGCGCUGGAGUGCUUCUGCCGGCCCGUGCGAGGAAGAACAGUUUCCUUGCCAUUUAGGUGCUUUUAUAUUCAUCUCAAAAAGAAAACAAAAUGCUGAACUCGGGAUUUGGCAAGUAUUUCUGCAUUGUCUCCUGGAGUGGGGUAGUCCUACUUCUCUUAUCUGGUCACCUUCCCUGUUGAAAUGUGGAUGUCUCUUCUCUAUACUUUGCCUCCAUGACUUGGACUGGAAAGGCUGCUCUUCUUUUUGCUGCCCACUCAAAUUCAGCACAGAGAAGCCCUGGGGUAGAGUCAUUCCGCCAGAUUCUCCUGGAAGAGAAGCGACUGACAUAUAUCUUCAGCUGCUCUUUGCUCAAUCAGAAAGAUAUUUCAAAAGCUGAAGGCUGAUGUCUGGUUUGAAACAGAUGCUUUGAUGGUGAUAUUUGUGAAUUCUUUACCUUUUGUUCCAAACAAGAAGACUGAAUAUAAAUAGCAGGUAUCGGUAUGACAUCAGGGUUUGGGGGUUUUUUUGUCUUCCAGUUUUAAUCACUAUCAUGAUAAGCACAGUUGAGACUUGCAACAGUAAAUUCCAGAUAUAUGUUCUAAUGUGAAGUGAAAGAGAUGCUUAAAGAGAUGGCUUACAUAUGUAUCUAAAUCCUGGCUUAUCCUUUGACAUGGAUUUACUAGAUAAGAACAAAGGUCCCAUUUUGCAAUAAAACUCUUGAUGUGAUAAAGAAGUAAAAAGAC